rnacentral:lncRNA from 1 species
CGGGACAAAGCUUUGUGAGAGUUUGGAAGUCUCCUCUUAUAUUUGAUGGCUAUCACUUUCUUCCGGGCUCUGAUGAAAUUGAAAUGUACCUUGCCACUAUUUCAAGGGCUUCUCUCUCUUUGGAAAUUAAGGUAUUUGGUUGUCCUCUGAAGUCAUCUCUCCAACGUGCUCAAGAUAAGUAGUUAUAAGGGUCCUUAAAAGUGGAAGCUGGAGAUAGAAGAGUCAGUGUCAGAGUGAGGCAACAUGAAAAAGAUUUGACUGGCUAUCGCUGGCAUUGAAGAGGGAAGGUGGACACCUGCCAAGGAAUGCAGGCAUCCUCUAGAAGCUGGAAAAGACUGCUUGAAAUGAAAUGAGUAAAAUUAUUUUGGAAAUCCUGAGUGAAAAGGUGUGGAAGGGUGAGGAGAAAGGAGUACACAUGAAAAAUAAA